UUUUCACAAUUAUUCAUGACGCCCAUGUUUCUAGCUGUCAUGUGUGGUUUCCAUGUAUGUAAAGUCAUUGUAUUCCUCGGUUUUAAUUGAUAUGUGGUUACAGCUCAAAAAUAAAAGCAAAAGCAAUUUAGUAAAAUCUAACAUAUUCCAUCACAUUGACAAAAUAGUGAGCAAAAGGAGCCCAACACUCAUCCCAACCUCGCC
rnacentral:lncRNA from 1 species